UACAGAGGGUGCAAGCGUUAAUCGGAAUUACUGGGCGUAAAGCGCACGUAGGUGGUCACUUAAGUCAGGUGUGAAAUCCCCGGGCUCAACCUGGGAAUUGCAUUUGAUACUGGGUGUCUAGAGUAUGAUAGAGGGAAGUGGAAUUUCCGGUGUAGCGGUGAAAUGCGUAGAUAUCGGAAGGAACAUCAGUGGCGAAAGCGACUUCCUGGACCAGUACCGACGUUCAGGCACGAAAGCGUGGGGAGCAAACAGG
rnacentral:rRNA from 1 species